rnacentral:rRNA from 1 species
UACACACCGCCCGUCAAGCCACGAAAUUGGGGCGCGCCCGAAGUCGCUGCAGGAACCGCAAGGACCAAAGUGCCGAAGGUGAGCUCCGAGAUUGGGACU